UUAAAAUGAGAGUUUGAUCCUGGCUCAGGACGAACGCUGGCGGCGUGCCUAAUACAUGCAAGUCGAGCGAGCGGAACUAACAGAUUUACCUCGGUAAUGACGUUAGGAAAGCGAGCGGCGGAUGGGUGAGUAACACGUGGGGAACCUGCCCCAUAGUCUGGGAUACCACUUGGAAACAGGUGCUAAUACCGGAUAAGAAAGCAGAUCGCAUGAUCAGCUUUUAAAAGGCGGCGUAAGCUGUCGCUAUGGGAUGGCCCCGCGGUGCAUUAGCUAGUUGGUAAGGUAAAGGCUUACCAAGGCGAUGAUGCAUAGCCGAGUUGAGAGACUGAUCGGCCACAUUGGGACUGAGACACGGCCCAAACUCCUACGGGAGGCAGCAGUAGGGAAUCUUCCACAAUGGACGCAAGUCUGAUGGAGCAACGCCGCGUGAGUGAAGAAGGUUUUCGGAUCGUAAAGCUCUGUUGUUGGUGAAGAAGGAUAGAGGUAGUAACUGGCCUUUAUUUGACGGUAAUCAACCAGAAAGUCACG
rnacentral:rRNA from 1 species